UACGAAGGGGGCUAGCGUUGUUCGGAAUUACUGGGCGUAAAGCGCACGUAGGCGGAUAUUUAAGUUAGGGGUGAAAUCCCAGGGCUCAACCCUGGAACUGCCUUUAAUACUGGGUAUCUCGAGUCCGAGAGAGGUGAGUGGAAUUCCGAGUGUAGAGGUGGAAUUCGUAGAUAUUAGGAAGAACACCAGUGGCGAAGGCGGCUCACUGGUCCAGUACUGACGCUGAGGUGCGAAAGCGUGGGGAGCAAACAGG
rnacentral:rRNA from 1 species